rnacentral:misc_RNA from 1 species
AAGAGAGCAACCAGGAUUGCAGGUAAUUAAGUUAUCAUACAUAUACCUCUUACCCACAAUCAUGUAUCUUAAAGCUUGUAAUGCAGAAAGACUGGUGUGUAUCAGUAUUCUAUAUUUAAAUCAUGCCUUCUUUGCCGAUACUUUAACUCAGUUAUACUGGAGUCGCCUUCAGGAUUGUGAAGUAUUGAGUUUGAGUCAAAGUUGAAACUGAUUGUACCCAA